GAUGAACGCUGGCGGCGUGCCUAAUACAUGCAAGUCGAGCGAACGGACGAGAAGCUUGCUUCUCUGAUGUUAGCGGCGGACGGGUGAGUAACACGUGGAUAACCUACCUAUAAGACUGGGAUAACUUCGGGAAACCGGAGAUAAUACCGGAUAAUAUUUUGAACCGCAUGGUUCAAAAGUGAAAGACGGUCUUGCUGUCACUUAUAGAUGGAUCCGCGCUGCAUUAGCUAGUUGGUAAGGUAACGGCUUACCAAGGCAACGAUGCAUAGCCGACCUGAGAGGGUGAUCGGCCACACUGGAACUGAGACACGGUCCAGACUCCUACGGGAGGCAGCAGUAGGGAAUCUUCCGCAAUGGGCGAAAGCCUGACGGAGCAACGCCGCGUGAGUGAUGAAGGUCUUCGGAUCGUAAAACUCUUUUAUUAGGGAAGAACAUAUGUGUAAGUAACUGUGCACAUCUUGACGGUACCUAAUCAGAAAGCCACGGCUAACUACGUG
rnacentral:rRNA from 1 species